GACGCUCAAGGACUCUUACAAAGGAGGUCGAGUGUUUGCUAACUCGGAGGACACGGCCUGCCUGCUGGGGAUGCGUCGCAGAGCUCUCGUCUUCCAGCCCGUCUCUCAGCUCAGGGACGAGACCGACUUUGUGCACAGGAUCCCUAAGGAGCAGUGGUGGCUGAAGCUCCGUCCUCUGAUGAAA